UUCGUCUUUCUGUUUUAUGUUUAUGGCCGAGUGUGGCCGAGAGAUUUGUAUGGGCCUGUUUUGGCCGUUUUUAUUGCUUAUCGGGACUGGCCGUUGGUGGCUUCGAAUCCCCUUGCCGCUUUACGCGGUUUAUUUAUAUGAUGAAUGUUUCGUUUUUCGAGUUUUUGCCGAGUAGGUUCGAAGUAAAUAUGAGUUGUCGUCUCAUAUUCAAUUCCGAUGAGACGUCCAAUCUGUUGGUUCGUUCGUGAUUUUCGUAAGAGUUACCCAUCUUUACGAUUUUCGAGAACAUUGAGAUACGAACGGAGAGACAUGGUUUAGG
rnacentral:lncRNA from 1 species